GUGUCAGCAGCCGCGGUAAGACGAGGGGUCCUAGCGUUGUUCGGAAUCACUGGGCGUAAAGCGUUUGUAGGCGGCUCUAUAAGUCGGGUGUGAAAUCCCACGGCUCAACCGUGGAAGUGCAUUCGAAACUGUAGGGCUUGAAUAUGGAAGAGGAGAGUAGAAUUCCUGGUGUAGUGGUGAAAUACGUAGAUAUCAGGAGGAAUACCGGUGGCGAAGGCGGCUCUCUGGUCCAAUAUUGACGCUGAGAAACGAAAGUGCGGGGAUCAAACAGGAUUAGAUACCCUGGUAGUCC
rnacentral:rRNA from 1 species